rnacentral:rRNA from 1 species
UACAGAGGGGGCAAGCGUUAUUCGGAAUUAUUGGGCGUAAAGGGCGCGUAGGCGGCUAUUCAAGUGGCGGGUGAAAUCCCUCGGCUUAACCGAGGAACUGCCUGCCAGACUGGAUGGCUUGAGACCGGGAGAGGUGAGUGGAAUUCCCAGUGUAGCGGCGAAAUGCGUAGAUAUUGGGAGGAACACCAGUGGCGAAGGCGGCUCACUGGACCGGUACUGACGCUGAGGCGCGAAAGCGUGGGGAGCAAACAGG